rnacentral:lncRNA from 1 species
CUAAGAAUGCCCUUAGAAACCAUGUGCUGAAGAUGGCAGUGCUUUUGUCAGCCUGGGUUCCUGAAUAACUGCAUGGAACAGAGCCUUUACCAUAUACCCCAACCCCAAACAAAGAACACCUUCAUUGGACUAUUACACACAGGACUUUGGAUGAAGACUGCGAUAAAAAGAUUUUGGAGAAAACAUUGGUGAAGAAUUUCAUCUGUGAAUCUUAGCUCUGCAAUGCAGUCUGCAUAUUUCUAGUGAAUUGAGCAAUUCUGUGUGGUUGAGGAUUGACAGCAUAAUGGAAACAGAGCAAACUGCAGAAUUUAUCACCAGGAUCAAGAGGCAACUUGAGGCCAAUUUUGUGUGCUCAGGGAUGGUAGAAAACACUGACAAAAUCAAGCAACCAAAGACAAGGAGAAAACUGUAAAACAACAAAAAGAGAAAUCUGAUAAGAA